rnacentral:rRNA from 1 species
CGGCGGACGGGUGAGUAACACGUGGAUAACCUACCUAUAAGACUGGGAUAACUUCGGGAAACCGGAGCUAAUACCGGAUAAUAUAUUGAACCGCAUGGUUCAAUAGUGAAAGACGGUUUUGCUGUCACUUAUAGAUGGAUCCGCGCCGCAUUAGCUAGUUGGUAAGGUAACGGCUUACCAAGGCAACGAUGCGUAGCCGACCUGAGAGGGUGAUCGGCCACACUGGAACUGAGACACGGUCCAGACUCCUACCGGGAGGCAGCAGCC